rnacentral:rRNA from 1 species
GACGAACGCUGGCGGCGUGCUUAACACAUGCAAGUCGAACGGAAAGGCCCUGCUUUUGUGGGGUGCUCGAGUGGCGAACGGGUGAGUAACACGUGAGUAACCUGCCCUUGACUUUGGGAUAACUUCAGGAAACUGGGGCUAAUCCCGGAUAGGAGCUCCUGCUGCAUGGUGGGGGUUGGAAAGUUUCGGCGGUUGGGGAUGGACUCGCGGCUUAUCAGCUUGUUGGUGGGGUAGUGGCUUACCAAGGCUUUGACGGGUAGCCGGCCUGCGAGGGUGACCGGCCACAUUGGGACUGAGAUACGGCCCAGACUCGUACGGGAGGCAGCAGUGGGGAAUAUUGCACAAUGGGCGGAAGCCUGAUGCAGCAACGCCGCGUGCGGGAUGACGGCCUGCGGGUUGUAAACCGCUUUCGCCUGUGACGAAGCGUGAGUGACGGUAAUGGGUAAAGAAGCACCGGCUAACUACGUG